AAUAUGAAGGUCGAGGCUGAAGACCUUACCGGAUUAGCUGAGAGGUGGUGCAUGGCCGUCGUCAGUUCGUACUGUGAAGCAUCCUGUUAAGUCAGGCAACGAGCGAGACCCACGUCCACAGUUGCCAGCAUACCCUCCGGGGGUGAUGGGUACACUGUGGAGACCGCCGCUGCUAAAGCGGAGGAAGGAAUGGGCAACGGUAGGUCAGUAUGCCCCGAAUCUCCCGGGCUACACGCGGGCUACAAUGGUUGGUACAAUGGGCAUCUACCCCGAAAGGGGAAGGAAAUCUCUUAAAGCCAAUCGUAGUUCGGAUUGAGGGCUGCAACUCGCCCUCAUGAAGCUGGAAUCCGUAGUAAUCGCGUUUCAACAGAACGCGGUGAAUACGUCCCUGCUCCUU
rnacentral:rRNA from 1 species